rnacentral:rRNA from 1 species
UACGGAAGGUCCACGCGUUAAUCGGAAUUACUGGGCGUAAAGCGCGCGUAGGUGGUUUAUUAAGUUGGGUGUGAAAGCCCCGGGCUCAACCUGGGAACUGCAUCCAAAACUGAUUCACUAGAGUACGAAAGAGGGAGGUAGAAUUCACAGUGUAGCGGUGGAAUGCGUAGAUAUUGUGAAGAAUAUCAAUGGCGAAGGCAGCCUCCUGGUUCUGUACUGACACUGAGGUGCGAAAGCGUGGGUAGCGAACAGGAUUAGAUACCCUGGUAGUCCACGCCGUAAACGAUGACAACUAGCUGUUGGGAAGCAAUGCUUUUCAGUGGCGCAGCUAACGUAUUAAGUUGUCCGCCUGGGGAGUACGGCCGCAAGGUUAAAACUCAAAUGAAUUGACGGGGACCCGCACAAGCGGUGGAGCAUGUGGUUUAAUUCGAUGCAACGCGAAAAACCUUACCUACUCUUGACAUCCUUGGAAUCUCUUGUAAUGAGAGGGUGCCUUUUGGAACCAAGUGACAGGUGCUGCAUGGCUGUCGUCAGCUCGUGUCGUGAGAUGUUCCGUUAAGUCGGAUAACGAGCGCAACCCUUACCCUUAUUUGCCAGCGGUUCGGCCGGGAACUAUAAGGGGACUGCCGGUGAUAAACCGGAGGAAGGUGAGGAUGACGUCAAAUCAUCAUGGCCCUUACGAGUAGGGCUACACACGUGCUACAAUGGGAAGUACAGAGGGACGCCAAAGCGUGAGCUGGAGCUAAUCUCAUAAAACUUUUCGUAGUCCGGAUUGCAGUCUGCAACUCGACUGCAUGAAGUCGGAAUCGCUAGUAAUCGCGGAUCAGCACGCCGCGGUGAAUACGUUCUCGAGUCA